UACGGAGGGUGCAAGCGUUAUCCGGAUUCACUGGGUUUAAAGGGUGCGUAGGCGGGCAGGUAAGUCAGUGGUGAAAUCUCCGGGCUUAACUCGGAAACUGCCGUUGAUACUAUUUGUCUUGAAUAUUGUGGAGGUGAGCGGAAUAUGUCAUGUAGCGGUGAAAUGCUUAGAUAUGACAUAGAACACCAAUUGCGAAGGCAGCUCGCUACACAAUUAUUGACGCUGAGGCACGAAAGCGUGGGGAUCAAACAGG
rnacentral:rRNA from 1 species